AGAGGGGGCGGGGCAUCCAGUACAACAGGAACUCAUGUCGGGGUCUGUUUUCCUGUCAACACGAGCGACGAGGCGGGCGGAGGACUGCCCUGAUAAAGCGAUCUGCCUCGGAGUUAGUGCUGUGGCCGCAGGAAAGACCUGACAGUCAUGGGACGGAACGGUACGGUACGGGUUUCUCACUGUUGCUGAGGUGCUGGCGAUUUGAAAAGACCUGGAAACCUGCAGGCACACCCACCCUCUAGGACAAGGACUGGACAGUCCUGAGCAGGUUAAUUUCUCAGAGGAGCAGCACUGUGAUAGGACAGAUGUGGCUGGUUGGAGACUAUAAUCUGUGAUCAGCUUUCAUUUGAACCGGUCUGUGUCUUCAUUGCAGAUGAAGUCAAUUGCUACUUGUCCACUGAUGACGUCGGGGUCUAUAAGCAUAAGGGGGUGGAGGCUGUACUGGAUGAACUAAGAUAAAAUAAGAUUUUAACCGGACUGCUGUUGACACUGACAGUCUAGAUGAGCUGCAGAAGGAUUUAAAGUAAUGAUGUUAUUGAGCUUUUCAAGUACACUUAUCAAUUAUUUUUAGGAGAUAAUCAAUGUAGUGAUAAAUGAAUGGGCUGGUUUUAAGGUGAACAGAGGUAAGUUAUGGUUAAGUGUGGUUUUAGAGAACUUAAGCAUUGGUCUUAAACACAGUUCUUGAAGGGCCUUGUGUCUUCUGCGUUAUGUUUAAGCCUAAAUAGGGAAUUAACUUAUUUGUAUUACAAAUUUUACAGUUGAUCACUCAAGACAUUCAUUUCAUUAAAGUUACAGUGACCAAUAGAUGUCCUUGGAGCCAGGUUAUAAACAGGCCAACAUUGUUAAUGAGAAAGUGGGUGAAAUAUAACACAGAAGACAUGCAGGUCCUGCAGGAACUACAUUUGAGAUCCCUCUUCUACAGAAAACAAACUGUGCCGGCUCUUGAACCUGGUUCCAGUUUGUGCGCAUGCCCUGUUAUAUUGGAGAUAAUAUGCAAAACAUUUAAAUAAACUGAUUGAUCUUUAAAA